UACGUAGGGUGCGAGCGUUGUCCGGAAUUAUUGGGCGUAAAGGGCUCGUAGGCGGUUUGUCGCGUCGGGAGUGAGAACCUCGGGCUUAACUCGGGGCUUGCUUUCGAUACGGGCAGACUGGAGGUAUGCAGGGGAGAACGGAAUUCCUGGUGUAGCGGUGAAAUGCGCAGAUAUCAGGAGGAACACCGGUGGCGAAGGCGGUUCUCUGGGCAUGACCUGACGCUGAGGAGCGAAAGUGUGGGGAGCGAACAGG
rnacentral:rRNA from 1 species